GCGCGAGUGCCGGAAUUGGCAGACGGGCCGGGUUUAGGUCCCGGUGCCUCAGGGCGUGAGGGUUCGAGUCCCUCCUCGCGCA
rfam:Streptomyces abyssalis strain SCSIO 10390 scaffold1, whole genome shotgun sequence.